rnacentral:tRNA from 1 species
GCCGGGAUGGUGAAAUUGGUAUACACGUACGCUUGAGGUGCGUAUGCCGCAAGGCGUGCAGGUUCAAGUCCUGUUCCCGGCACAA